UACAGAGGGUGCGAACGUUGCUCGGAAUUACUGGGCGUAAAGCGCAUGUAGGCGGGUCGGCAAGUCAGAUGUGAAAGCCCCGGGCUCAACCCGGGAACUGCAUCUGAAACUGCCGGUCUUGAGUACUGGAGAGGGUGGCGGAAUUCCUGGUGUAGAGGUGAAAUUCGUAGAUAUCAGGAGGAACACCGGUGGCGAAGGCGGCCACCUGGACAGUCACUGACGCUGAGAUGCGAAAGCGUGGGGAGCAAAC
rnacentral:rRNA from 1 species